UUCCCUGCUCGGGGUACACGGGGCAGGCCUCGGACCGGCCCUUCCUUGCUCGGGGGACACGGGGCCGGCCCCGGACCGGCCCUUCCCUGCCGGACUCCCAGGACCGAUUCACCCACACUGCUGCGCUGAAAGGCACUGGGUGGCAAAUCCACGAAGCGAGCGGCACGACCGGCCAAACUUUCCACUCUUUACAGCUUUUAGCAAACAAAGACAUUAAUGUGCAUUGGUUACGAGGUCGUACUGAGGCCAAUGGACCAAGCCCUCCCUGUUGGGAUUUCUGGAAAUAAAAGAAGGAAAAGUUAGCUCUCCAUUUGCCAAUCCAUUGCUGUCUGACUGCUCAAGUUCAGAGCAUUUCAGAAAACCAGCAGGUUCUUUAAAAAGACCUUUAAGAUGAGAAAUUGCUUCAGUAUUUCUCCUAUAUUCUGUCAAAUUUCAGGAAGCACUAUAUAAGUACUGCUUCAGGCAGCACCUCCUGCAAAGGGAGAGAUGGAAGGGCCACAUUAGAAAGUAACUAAUGAGUAUCAGCUGUAUCAUUGCAACACUUCUCCUGGUUGCCAUGAGCUGUUGGAGGUUUUUCUAGCAGAGACCUGCAGAUGAAUGAUGUAAUGCAAAGUAUCUGCUAGUGAAGACAGAAGAUGCUUAUGCUCAUAAUGAGGCUUAUGAUAUAUAAGAUACUGAAAAUGGAUGGAGGGGUUUUCCCCUAAGUAAUUACAAUUCCUGAUUACUGGGAACUUACAAGAGCAGAAACACUGAUUCCUCCUGCAGAUUCUCCAAAGAUAGUGACAGAUCCUGGAUCUCCUCCAAAAUGCAUGAUAUUUUCCUGAAUCCAGCGAAGAGCCGCCACUUGGUCUAAAUAUCCCCAGUUACCCCGGGCAUGCUCAUCACCAGUGCUGCAGGGACAGAACAGAUUUGUUCAAGUGCUCAAUGCAAGCCAAGAGGCAGAGGAAAACACAGUCUGUGGUGUGACAAAUCAUCUGCCACUGUCUACACAGAACUUCCCUCCAAGACUGACGAAUGGAUGGCUCGGGCAUCCCUGAGAUUGGAGCAGCAGCCCCACAAGAACAGACCUGGAAUCUGCCUUGGCACUGGAAAUUGUCCCCAGGGCUGCAGGUGCAGUUCAGAAAUGUUUCUUUGCAUAAGCAAGUCUUCUGCACUUCUCUUUACAAAGGCUUUGCACACAUCCUUUUGGAAAUCACUUAGGAAAAACUGAGAUCAUCCAACUCACCUAAAAUAUCCAGCAAUACCGAGUCUGUACUGAAUUGUUACAACCACCACGUUGUCAAAUGCUGCAAAUACUGAACCAUCAUAUGAUGAAGCUGCUCCAAAAACUAAUCCACCUCCAUGGAUCCAUACUAGGACCUGGAAAAAGAAACAGAGGAUCAACCCAGCUCAGGUAAGAGCCCCCAGUGAGACAGACUAAAUGUAGCCCAUGAUACAACACUAUCUGCUAUUUCACUCCUAUUCUGUCAGAAUACAUUUCACAAAUUGCAGAAAUCAUUCAAAUCUGAGGCCUGCAGGGCUACAAACUGGCACUGCUUUUGUUAAAUGUUUACACUGUGUCAGUGCCCUGUGACUUUGGACUGAUCCUUUGGAUUAAAUCAAGCACUGCUUAGCUAAAUGGCAAUACAAUUUUACUUGUAAAAUAGGAUUUUGUGCCUCUUUAAUUCCAGCUAAUAUUUGCUGGGACAAAGCAUGUAAGUUGUUCAUCGCUACAAAAGUGCCCCUGCAUGUCUGCUCAUGGCAGAGGUUGAAGUUUUCCUGUCAGAUAAUUUUGCUGAAGGUGUUAUAAAGAUUUUGCUUACAGGCAGCUUCUCCUUUUCUCCUGUUGAAACAGGUGUGUAGACAUUGAGGUACAAGCAAUCCUCAGACACUUGCAGAGCAACUUUCUCUUUCCUGUUGGUAAUCAAGUCUGAAAAAUUCUGUCCUUGUACUUGGUCCUGUAGACACCUGAAUAAAUGCAAAAGUAACAGGGUAACAGGGAAGAGAUUUCGCUAAAUCCUGAAAGCUGUGAAGAGAAACGUUUUUGUACUUCCACCACAAAGUGCCAAGCAGAAACUGAUCUCCAGCGCACGUUUAGAUUGGUAUGUGAAAUACAUAUGCAAAUAUAAAUGAAUUAUUUGAAGUCUCCAAUAGCUUUUUACUUUGCAAUGGUAGAUAUUAGCCUUGAGAUGCUAAAUAAGGGAAGUAGAACAACUCAAGGGAGUGAGACAUUUACAAGGUAGAUUGGCAUUGCUGUGCAUUUCCUAUGUGCCCUUUUAAGCACUUGACUCAGCAGUUUCCCGCUAACGUUGUGUUCCAACAUUUCCUCAGCUCCUUUCUGUCCCUGCUCCAAAGGUUUCCAGUGAUUGGUAAGGGCUGGCCAAGUGCUCCUGAGGCAGAGCAUUGUCUGUAGGUGCUGCUCCAUCUCAGCUCUCUCUGAUGCCCGUCAGAGAGCAGCUGCUGGCACAGAGAGCAGCUCCCAGAGUGUCUUUAGAAAUGCAUCCACUGGGACAGCUGCAGGUGCAACGAGGGGGCACCAAGGAAUUUGUCUUCAUGGAUGGCCCUGUGAGCACAUCAGAGUCCUGGAAGUGUCCAGAGUUUAACAUCAUGAAAGGGUCAGUGGUUUGGUCAUGGCCUUACAUUGGUGGGUAGGAAGUGGCAUCUCUGACACCUUCCCAUGGCUCAGGUGGCUGGGGUUCAGAAAACCUCAGUGAUCCAACGGGAGGCUUAGCAAAAGGCAGUCCCAAGAAGACAUUUACAGUCCUCUCAGCUGUGUCCACGUGGAAUUGGUACCCUCGGACUCUCCCAUAUUUGGUCUCUGCUUCUGGUUGUUCUGUGGGACAGCAGCACAGAAUCACAUCACUGCUCUGGUUUUUUCAGAAAGAGCAUUUCGAAGAAUCUGAUGCAAUUCAAAAGCUGAUGUGAUCACAGAAUGGUUUGGACUGGAUGAAACCUCCAAGCUCUACUCAUGCCACCUGUGCCAUGGGCAGGGACACCUUCCUGUCCAAGCUGCCCUUGGGCACUGCCAGGGAUGGGGCAGCCACAGCUGCUCUGGGCAGCUCUGGGUGCCAGAGCCUCAGCAACCUCAGAGGGGGAAAUCUCUUCCCUGCAUCUGAUUUAAACCUGCCUCAGUUGGUUUGAAGCCAUUCCGUUCCCCCUUGUCCUGUUGCUACAUGCCCUUGGCCAAUGCCCCUCUCCAUUUUCCUUGGAGGCUGCCUGGGGCUCCUGCAAGGGGCUCUGAGGUGUCCCCAGAGCCUUCUCCUGUCCAGCUGAACAGCCCAGCUCUCUCAGCCUGUCUCCACAGGAGAGGGGCUCCAUUUCUCCAGAUCCAGUCCUGCUCACACCUCUCUUUACAGCUCAGUGGCUUACGAGAGCCACAGUCUUCAAAUUAGCUCAGCCCAUCUCUUUUGCUCCUGUUAGUGCUGAGUGCUGUGGCUGUGCUUGUGCACUUUACUCCAAAUGCUCCUUGUGCACUUUACUCCCAAUCUUGCCCUGUGUAUGUGCACAGGUGUGAUUUACAGUGCCUGGAGAUAAACCCCAGCCAGCUUUAACCUGGCUGCUCGCAGGGCAAACCGGUGGCAGGCACUGCAGGUGACCCCAAGCAGUGCUGGCUGUGUCUGCAGCCUGUGCUGGGUUUGUGGUGGCCCCUGAGCUCUGCCCCAGGGCCCUGCCCGCCCUGCCAGGCUGUGCUGGGUGCAGCUCCUGAGGCUGAGGGCACGGCCAGUGCUCACUGUGCCCUGCCUCAUGGGCAAUGCUGUGAGUCUCACCUGCUGAGAAAGCUAUGAGGACUGUAAACCCACCUUAAGUAAUACUAAAUACAGUGAAAAAGAUGUACCUGUUAAGAGAAAAUUCCUGUUAGAGGUUGCAAGUGAACAUUUUGUUUCUAGUUCUUUGGUUUCUGAUGACUUACAACUACUAACUUUCACACGGGACUCAAAUCCACCAGAUAUCUGCUCUAUUCCAGUGAAACCCCCUUCCUCU